rnacentral:rRNA from 1 species
GAUGAACGCUGGCGGCGUGCCUAAUACAUGCAAGUCGAGCGAACAGACGAGGAGCUUGCUCCUCUGACGUUAGCGGCGGACGGGUGAGUAACACGUGGAUAACCUACCUAUAAGACUGGGAUAACUUCGGGAAACCGGAGCUAAUACCGGAUAAUAUAUUGAACCGCAUGGUUCAAUAGUGAAAGACGGUUUUGCUGUCACUUAUAGAUGGAUCCGCGCCGCAUUAGCUAGUUGGUAAGGUAACGGCUUACCAAGGCAACGAUGCGUAGCCGACCUGAGAGGGUGAUCGGCCACACUGGAACUGAGACACGGUCCAGACUCCUACGGGAGGCAGCAGUAGGGAAUCUUCCGCAAUGGGCGAAAGCUUGACGGAGCAACGCCGCGUGAGUGAUGAAGGUCUUCGGAUCGUAAAACUCUGUUAUUAGGGAAGAACAAAUGUGUAAGUAACUAUGCACGUCUUGACGGUACCUAAUCAGAAAGCCACGGCUAACUAAGU